rnacentral:rRNA from 1 species
GUGGGGAAUAUUGGACAAUGGGGGGAACCCUGAUCCAGCCAUGCCGCGUGUGUGAAGAAGGCCUUUUGGUUGUAAAGCACUUUAAGCGAGGAGGAGGCUACCGAGAUUAAUACUCUUGGAUAGUGGACGUUACUCGCAGAAUAAGCACCGGCUAACUCUGUGCCAGCAGCCGCGGUAAUACAGAGGGUGCAAGCGUUAAUCGGAUGUACUGGGCGUAAAGCGCGCGUAGGUGGCCAAUUAAGUCAAAUGUGAAAUCCCCGAGCUUAACUUGGGAAUUGCAUUCGAUACUGGUUGGCUAGAGUAUGGGAGAGGAUGGUAGAAUUCCAGGUGUAGCGGUGAAAUGCGUAGAGAUCUGGAGGAAUACCGAUGGCGAAGGCAGCCAUCUGGCCUAAUACUGACACUGAGGUGCGAAAGCAUGGGGAGCAAACAGGAUUAGAUACCCGAGUAGUCC